rnacentral:lncRNA from 1 species
GCCCAAGACGGCAGCCCCUCUAGCUGGCAAGAGGCUUCUGCUGUUCUGUAAGAGGUGGCGCAGGAACAAUCAGCUCCCUACAACCACUCUCUUCCUCUUUGAUCAUAGGGCACUGAGGAGACUCUUUGUAUGCAUAUCUUCAGUGCCUUGGAAUGAGAUCUCUGGAAGCCAGUAGAGAGCCAGUGGGGUCUCUGACCUUCACGAGAGGUGUGAGAGAUAGAAUACCUGCAUAACAUAUGAAAAACCCUGGUGUAUUAGUCAGGGUUCUCUAGAGUCACAGAACUUCUAGGUAGUCUCUAUAUAGUAAUGGAAUUUAUUGAUGACUUACAGUCUGUAGUCCAACUCCCAACAAUGGUCAGCAGGAGCUGUGAAUGGAAGUCCAAGGAUUUAACAGCUGCUCAGUCCCACAAGGCAAGCAGUCGAAGGAGAGAGAGAGUAAAUCUUCCUUCUUCCAAUGUCCUUAAUGUAGGUCUCCAGCAGAAGGUGUAGCCCAGAUUAAAGGUGUGUGCCACCACGCCUUUAAUCCUAGAUGACCUUGAACUCAGAGAUCUCCCUGUCUUAAUCUUCUUCUGGAAUUCAUAGCCACUAUGCCUCAAGCUCUCCAUGCCAUGAUCCAGGUCAGAAACUUGUAUCUCCCAGGCUCUAGAUUAGGAUCACUAAUUCUGGAUUGUAGUUCAUUCCACAUAUAGUCAAACUGACAACCAGGAAUAGCCAGGUCACCUGGGUUCAGACACCCAGACACCUGCACAUACACACAGCAGUCCCAGAGCUGGGACGCAAUCCAAAGCUUGAUUUCGUAAUGCACUGAGAAGUGAUCUCUUUUGCCAGUUAAUAUCUGUGUGCAUUUUUCCUUCUCUCUCCCCUGCCUGCCUCCCAGAGGUAAUUUAGCAAAAUCCAGCACUGACAAAAGUUAAUCAAUCAGGGCCACACUGUGAGAUUUCUCUCCGAGAAGGCAGUAUGGUGAGCAAUUUUUCAAAGAUGAUUUUUUUUUCAUUAGAAAGAAGAUGGGAAGUUUGGAAUCAAGUGGGAGCAAGCUAACUGGUGAGAAUAUACAUCAAAACUG